rnacentral:lncRNA from 1 species
ACAGGAUUUGCUGAUGGAUUGGACGAAGCUGGUAGCUCUUGAGCUGCAGAGGCCCCAGUUCUGGCUUUGCAGCCAGCCCCCAGCGCCGCAGCAUCUGUUCACCAGGUUACUUUAGGGUUGUUGUGAAGAUUAGAGGAAUGAAUGUGGGUGAAAGCACAUCGAACAGAAAGAAGCUGGCACAAAGUAAGUGUUAGUUAUUACUGCUGCUGCGGCUCCUAUUACGGUUAUUAAUGGGAUAACGAAUGGGAAGCACCUGGAGUGGAGGAAAGACUUGAUAAAUACUAAGCAUUACCAGCUUUUAAUUUUUCUUUUCUGAGCCUAACCCACUCUUCUUGGCUCCUGGGCACUGGGGGUGGUCACCCUCAUGUCACUUUGACCACCUGAUCUGGCCCCCUUGGAGUCCUUGGCUCUGCACAGGUGGAGGCCAUGUCUUCCUUAUUGCCACAUCCCCGCCCACAGCAGGCAUUCAGACGCAUUUGGAAGCAAACAGCUCUGACAGGUGCCUCCCCAGCUUGCAGACAGUCUGUGGCUUCCCACUGCUUUCAGGAUUUCGCUCGCGCAGACCCCACCCCCGCUGCGUGGUCUGGCCACCUCGUCUCCCACCUCCUCGGCCUCAGGCACCAUCUUCUGCCACCAAGCCAGGCUUCUCCCCUCCCAAGCCGAGCCGCCAGUUCCCUCCUGCCCCUAGGCCUCUGCCUGUGCCCCGCUCAUCUUGGAGUGCUCUUCUCUGGCUGGCACACUCCUCCUCCUCCGCCAAGACCCAGCCUUACAAAGCUCCCUCCGACCCCAAGCAAGAAUUAGAGUCAGCUGGGGGCCUGGGAAGCGGGCGGCCUUAUCCUCCUCCUCCCCACCACCACCACUGUGCCCAGCACUUGGGACAGGGACUUGCUGGUCACUCCCUCCAAAGAAGCUGGUGCCUGGACCCUGAGCCUGUUCUCUGGAGACUCAAACUACUCGCCUUCUGUGGAUCCUGGAAGACCCAUUCCACACCUCCUCGAAGGAAAGUCUUCCCUGGCUGUUUCUCCAGCUGCCGUGCUCCCACCUCCCUUGGUUCAUAUCUCCACCACUGUGUCUCCCCUUGCCUUGUAAUAAUUGGGCUGCUGGUACUCUCUCCCCCUAGGUCUUGGCUCAGAAUUGGGCCUUCUAUCUCUUGCCCUCUCCAGGAACAGAAACUGCUCUGCCUGAAUAGAUGAAUAAACAAAUGAGUAAAUUGGAAUGGGUUUAAAUGUUGCCUCCUCCAAGAAGUCCUCCCUGACCAUUCUAGCUCUAUUUAUAAUCAUUGCAUGUGUUUAUUGUCUGUCUCACCCACAAGACUAUCAGCUCUUCAAAGGCAAGGACCUUCUUGUUUUGUUUACCAUGGCCUUCCUGGC